UACGGAGGAUGCGAGCGUUAUCCGGAUUUAUUGGGUUUAAAGGGUGCGUAGGUGGUUUUUUAAGUCAGCGGUGAAAGUUUGUGGCUCAACCAUAAAAUUGCCGUUGAAACUGGGGAACUUGAGUAUAUUUGAGGUAGGCGGAAUGCGUGGUGUAGCGGUGAAAUGCAUAGAUAUCACGCAGAACUCCGAUUGCGAAGGCAGCUUACUAAACUAUAACUGACACUGAAGCACGAAAGCGUGGGGAUCAAACAGG
rnacentral:rRNA from 1 species